AUUGAACGCUGGCGGCAGGCCUAACACAUGCAAGUCGAACGGUAACAGGAAGCAGCUUGCUGCUUUGCUGACGAGUGACGGACGGGUGAGUAAUGUCUGGGAAACUGCCUGAUGGAGGGGGAUAACUACUGGAAACGGUAGCUAAUACCGCAUAACGUCGCAAGACCAAAGAGGGGGACCUUAGGGCCUCUUGCCAUCGGAUGUGCCCAGAUGGGAUUAGCUAGUAGGUGGGGUAACGGCUCACCUAGGCGACGAUCCCUAGCUGGUCUGAGAGGAUGACCAGCCACACUGGAACUGAGACACGGUCCAGACUCCUACGGGAGGCAGCAGUGGGGAAUAUUGCACAAUGGGCGCAAGCCUGAUGCAGCCAUGCCGCGUGUAUGAAGAAGGCCUUCGGGUUGUAAAGUACUUUCAGCGGGGAGGAAGGGAGUAAAGUUAAUACCUUUGCUCAUUGACGUUACCCGCAGAAGAGGCACCGGCUAACUCCGUG
rnacentral:rRNA from 1 species